rnacentral:rRNA from 1 species
CCCUUAGAUGUUCUGGGCCGCACGCGCGCUACACUGAUGCAUUCAACGAGUCUAAAACCUGGUCUGAUAGGGCUGGGUAAUCUUUUGAAUGUGCAUCGUGAUUGGGAUAGAUGAUUGCAAUUCUUCAUCUUCAACGAGGAAUGCCUAGUAAACGCAAGCCAUCAGCUUGCAUUGAUUACGUCCCUGCCCUUUGUACACACCGCCCGUCGCUCCUACCGAUUGAAUGUUCCGAUGAAUACCAUGGACUGAGAGUAUGAAUGGGUUCGCCUAUUUCUGCUUCUCGGGAAGUGGAGUAAAUCUUAACAUUUAGAGGAAGGAGAAGUCGUAACA